ACCUAGUGCACAAAGCUUAAAACCACGUCGUUUUUGCACAGACGACUCUUAAGGCGCCAAUAUACUCCGACGUAGCGUCGGCGAGCAUUGAAACACUAUACUCCGGCGUCCCCGAGACGCAGCGGCGCCCGGCGCCGCCGGCUUGCCUCCGCGGGGUCGGCGCGGAGAUAGAACUUGUUCUAUUCCAGGCCGUGCUAGGUCGGUAGUCGCUAGACCAGAGUGCAUUGCGUUUCAUCAUGGCGGCCUCCGGCGAACCCGGCGAUCAAGUGCAAGCAUUGUCUGCAGAUGUUGUCGAAAAGUUAAUAGAGGCAGUUCGGCAACAUCCUUGCGUUUACGAUACAAAGCGCAUGGAGUAUCGCGACCAGAUGAGAAAAAACAACGCCUGGGAAAUCAUCAGGUCGUCAUGCGGACUUCGCACAGCGGAUGAGUGUCAGAAAAUAUGGAAAAGGCUGCGAGAUCGCUACAGUCAAGAGCAGAAGGCGGUUGAGGUAACACAGGACAGUGUCCAACCUGGAGGCACCAGGACCGAGUUGUAACGGACCAGACGAACACACGAAUACAGUACAGCCGACGGCAGCAUUUAUCCUGAACUCAAUCGUACGUGGCGAAGCAUCGCAUACACCGCCACCCCUAAUGGACUCCGCGCCAUCAGAUACAGAAGCUCUACCAACGUCAUCACGACCUGUUGAAACAUUUCCAACAACAGUGGAGCGGGAAGGAACUUCGCAGCACCAAAGGAAAAGAAGAAGUAACACAGAGGCAUUCGAGGAGCAGCUGCACUGUAAAAAAACUACCGUAAAAUUUACGUAUAUUUAAUGGCAGCUAUGUUGCCGGGCUUUUCCCGUUAAAAUUACGGCCACUUCGGAAGAAGUACUGCCGUUAAAUUUACAGUAAUUUUGAUGUAACCAGAAUGCUGUUUUUUUUUCGUGAAAAUUACGGUGUCUUACAAAAAUGCAGCCGUAAAAUUUGCAGGGAUUUUAAUGGCAGCUAUGUUGCCGGCUCUUUCCCGUAAUUCUCACGGCCACCUGAGAGAGUCGGCUUUUGUUUGAAGUCCGGAGUGCAUUAAUUCCCACAAAUUUGGGAACAGCACCGAAGGAUGUGUAAUUGUGUUUGUCUUCCUUUAAUGGAAUUGCAAGUCAUGCAGUAAUGUGUGACACAAGUCACAGAGUAGAGGACCGAGCAUUUAUUGUACAUACAGAGAAAUGGUGAAAAAUCUGUGAUGUCUGUUGAAUCUGCAGCGAUAAAAAAAAAACAUCUUAGAGUUGCAGAGUAUAUUAAGUAUAUCUGGUUAACAAGUAAAACGUUCCCUUACACUUGUGCUGUUUUCGAAACAAUCCCCAGAACUUCUUCAUAGGUUCUGGGUCUGUUCUUCAGCUUGCUGCCCCUGCAGGGCUGAUGCACAGUAUACUCCUGCAAGAAAGAAAAUGCAGGAUAUGUAGUACGACAGUUACUACCAUUCGAAUGCAGGUCCACAUGCACACACCUCUGCACAUUACACAUUCAGUAUGGUGGCACUAGUACAGACACCUUUAUGGUGCUGGCUGAAUACUUUCCAAUACAAGCGAAGAAAUAUCUUAAGGUCUUAUACUGGUCAUAAAGACCUUCACUCAUACUGGGAUAGUACAUAUAUCGAUGAUUUCAUGUGGAGUGACUGUGUAAAGACGCAAUGAUCUUACAGUGUUUGUCAUUAUAGAUGUGGCCUAAAAUUGUUGAAACGAAGAAUAUCUUUGGUUAUGAAAUAAGCACGCUUCACUCGUAUAAUCACAAAUGUCACUGAGAUUAUUCGAGGAAAUACAUGCCAAGCAAUUCAACAGGUAGUUCCAAUCACAAAAUACGUUUUAAAUGAAAGAAUCAGCAAUGCCAUCAGUGAAGCAAGUACACAUUUUUACUUUUGAUGACUAGUGACACGGGUGAUGUAUGCAGGAAUGAGAUGGUUAGUUUAUGGAAAAUCACUGCACUAAUCUCACCAUGCACCAGAGAAUUGCGCGCUUGUGUUUUGUUAUAAAAUAUGUACCACAUAAAUUCGCUGCACCCUAACGUCCUUCAUACUGACACAUGUACGUCCCGCACCUGUACUACUCUUUACCGAAAAAAAAGGGGGAGAGAAAGCACACAAUUUCCAUGUUGAAUCUAACACUGAUUUCUUUGUUCCGCACACAAAUCAUGAUUGGAGCUACCUCCCCGUUUGCCUCGUAUCCAUUCUACCCCCUAAUCAUUUUGAAAUAGCAUACUGCAAUUAUGUCGCACCAGUAUAACAUUUUGUGAUCAAAGUGGGCUUUCUGUACCACUCAGUUUUUGGACUAUAGUCAUAACAAAGAAACAACUUUGUAAUGCUUCUUGCAUUCUGGAUGAAUAAAUACUCUGGAGAGCAGAGCACAGCA